UAUGUCCUAGUUUUUCGUCAUCAUUAUGCAAUACCCGGCCGUAUAAAAAGGCCACCUUUUCGUAGUAGAUUCAGUCUGGGGUUCACAGGCAUAACUACUACUUCUCUUCUAACCAGGAUGGUUUUACGUUUCUAUGUUCUAUGUGGAUAAUAAUAAAGAAGCAAAACAGGAACCAAGAUGGAAAAAUUAAUUAUUUAUUAGCAUUAAUGAUUCUAAUUAUUGCUCAAUAGUAUCAUUCGGAAACAAACUUAAACCUUAACAGAGACUUGCGCAUAGAUAUUUGUCUGAAAUCCAGAAUUUGGUUCGAGCCGAAGAUUCAAGGCUUGUCACUUCACUCCAGUCUACCCUAUACAACAUUAACAAUAACUGUUAUCUGAACACUGUUACCUGUUCCAGACUAUUAUCCUGAACACUGUUACCUGCUCCAGACUAUUAUCCUGAACACUGUUACUUGUUCCAGACUAAUAUCUUGAAUGCUGUUACCUAUUCCAGCCUAUUAUCCUGAACACUUUUCCAUGUUCCAGGCUAGUAAAUUUAAUACUGUUACCUGUUCCAGACUAUUAUCCUUAACACUGUUACCUGUUAUUAGUCUGUACACUGUUUUCUGUUACAGACUAUCAUUCUGAACACUGUUACCUGUUCCAGACUUUCAUCCUGAACACUGUUACCUGUUCCAGACUAUUAUCAUAAACAGUGUUAAAUGUUCCAGACAAUUAUAUUAAACACUGUUACCUGUUCCAGACUAUUAUUCUAAACACUGCUACCAGUUUCAGACUAAUUAUUAUCCUGAACACUGUUACCUGUUUCAGACUAGCUAUUAUCCGAAACACUGUUACUCGUUCCAGACUAUUAUCCUAAACAGUGUUAACUGUUACCGACUAUUAUAUUUAACACUGUUAUUUGUUCCAGACUAUUAUUUCGAAUACUGUUACCGGUUCCAGACUAUUAUCCUGAACACUGUUACCUGUUCCAGACUAUUAAAUUUAAUACUGUUACCUGUUCCAGACUAUUAUCCUUAACACUGUUACCUGUUAUUAGUCUGUACACUGUUUUCUGUUACAGACUAUCAUUCUGAACACUGUUACCUGUUCCAGACUAUUAUCCUGAACAUUGUUACCUGUUCCAGACUAUUACUUUAAACAGUAUUCCUCCAGUUCUAUCUUUGAAACGGGUUCCAACUGACAUUGCUGCAACAAGACUUGUGCUCAACCCAACCUAAAUUAUAUAUAUUACAAGUUCUGUAAAAUUCAAAAAAGACAUCCAAAUUCACAAGCUAUUUUUUCCCGUAAUAUGGUACACUGUUUUAUGGCUUACUAGAAGGCAUAUUGGAAGAAGGUGAAAAAAGUGCAAAAAAGUUAGGCCAUAUUAAAAAGCUUAGUCACAAGUAAAACCUAUAUGUAUUUUCUUUAAAGGAGGACAGGACUUUAUAAUGAAUGGAAUUAACUGAAUAAAUUGUAUAAGGAAUGGUAA
rnacentral:lncRNA from 1 species